rnacentral:rRNA from 1 species
UACAGAGGUCCCAAGCGUUGUUCGGAUUCACUGGGCGUAAAGGGUGCGUAGGCGGUCGGGUAAGUCUGAUGUGAAAUCUCCAAGCCUAACUUGGAAACUGCGUUGGAUACUAUCCGGCUCGAGGAAUGGAGGGGAGACUGGAAUACUUGGUGUAGCAGUGAAAUGCGUAGAUAUCAAGUGGAACACCAGUGGCGAAGGCGAGUCCCUGGACAUUUCCUGACGCUGAGGCACGAAAGCCAGGGGAGCAAACGGG